CCUACGGGAGGCAGCAGUGGGGAAUAUUGCACAAUGGGCGCAAGCCUGAUGCAGCCAUGCCGCGUGUAUGAAGAAAGCCUUCGGGUUGUAAAGUACUUUCAGCGAGGAGGAAGGCAUUAAGGUUAAUAACCUUAGUGAUUGACGUUACUCGCAGAAGAAGCACCGGCUAACUCCGUGCCAGCAGCCGCGGUAAUA
rnacentral:rRNA from 1 species